rnacentral:misc_RNA from 1 species
AGUAAUAUUUAUCAUCGGGCGCGGCGUCUAUGUCGGCUCGGCCGUCGUAGCACAACUCCCGCCGUAGCUGUUAUCGGAAAAGCGCGGGAAAGCGAGCGCUCCGUCAGUAGGCUCGCGACCGCCGAGAGAGAUGGUCGUCUCCGUGCGCGCGGUCGCUUUGGCACUCGCCGCGCUCGCACUCGCGACGCGCGCUCACUUGCCCUCCCACGACAACAUACUGCGAAUACAGCUGUGGGACGCCGAGGGGCUCAGCCGGGAACCCCUGGCCACCGAGGUGGCAGCCACCUCGCGAGCUCCCAAACGCAGGAACACCAAAGUUAACUUGGAUGCUCUCUACAAUGACAUGCUGGAAGAGUUCGGAGCGGAGCUGGAGUUCGGGCGCUUCACCAGGCACCGGGUGAGGCACAAGCGGCGGCGGCCUCGGCAGAGUGGCACGGACCUGCCGUGGCGGUUCCACGCCGGCUCGCAGCUGAUGAACGUGGCCGAGUACAACUACGACGUGCCGUGGGAUGUUAUCGAAGGAAGGAUGGUGGACAGUGCAGUGAGUGAUGCAGUGAAUGGGUCGCGCGAGCGGGAGCGGGACGUGGCGCAGCCGAUGACGCUGCGGCAGCCCGACGACGACGACGAGGACGAAGAAGUGAAGAAGCAGUUGCCAGUCGUGCCAAAGUGCUGCGCUAGUGGGCAGAACCUGACCCUCGUGUCAGUUGAUGGUGCGCAUCAGCGCGUGUGCGCCAGGUCCUCUCUGACAUUCCAACCCAUUUUCCACCAGGCCAACGAAACACACAUUUUCAACUAUGACAGUAAUGUCUUCGAGACUAUUGUUGGCAAUCCUUGUAAAUAUGAAAGGUAUAGAUUAGAUCCGCAUAAGAACAGUAAAGACGAAUUCUAUUUGCUAGUGAAUGGCUCACUAUUCGUUCCUUAUGGCAGCCCGUACCUGCUUGGAACGAAAGAUUAUUGCAUGGAAACGUUUUGGAAUGAAUCAUUCCCUGCCGGAUUGACACUACCUUUAAUUUGUUUUCAACCAACUGAAGAAGUAAAGUCAUCUACAACACUUAUACUAUAUGCUACAGGCCUUUUAAUAUCAGUACCAUUUCUCCUGGCGACAGCCUGUGUGUACACCUUUAUAACAGAGCUCAGGGACACUCAUGGCAAAGCUCUGGCUUGUCACUCGAUGUGCUUAGCAAUAGCAUUCUGCUGUCUUGCCAUUACGCAAUUGGCUGGACAUGCAUUUCCACCGACAGCCUGUACAAUUAUAGCUUAUAUCAUCCAGUUUUCAUUCGUCUCUUGUUUCUUCUGGUUAAAUGUGAUGUGCUUUGAUAUAUUUUUAAACGUCAGACGAUACAUAAACUCACCGGUAACCAGACGCAGCAUGAGACGAAGGUUCGCUUGGUAUUGCUCUUACGCAGUAAUUCUGCCACUAAUAUUGCUGGUAGUCACAAUCACUAUGCAGUUACAUCCUGCGGUGCCCAGCACAUACCUCAAACCCAAUUUUGGUGUGAAGGCAUGCUGGUUCCAAACGGACCAAGCGGCGUUACCAUAUUUCUACGGACCAGUUGCAGUGAUACUACUCAGUAACCUUGUUAUAUUUUUCUUCACUUCACGAGCCUUCGCUCUCCAUUACGAUAAGCUAAAAGACUUAACACCACUAGACAUGACGCACUCAGACUUCAGUACAACGGACGACUGGGUGCGCCUGGGCACAGUUCUAGGUACGCCCAUACAGGUGCACGAACGGACCGCCACACCGCCGCGGGAGCAACCCGUCAACUUCAACCAGAGGCUCAAGAAGUAUAAAAAGAUAUUCCGCACGUGCUGUAUGCUCUCCAUCAUCAUGGGUUUGUCCUGGGUGCUGGAGGUGGUGUCGUGGGCGGUGGGCGCGGGCACCGAAGCUGUCUCCGUCUGGUCAGUCUUCGACCUUAUCAACGCACUGCAGGGCGUCGUCAUCUUCGCCAUCUUUGUCUUGCAGAAGCCCGUGCGAUCGUAUGUUAAGAACUCGAGACUGUUUACAUCUUGUAAAAGGAAAACUGACGGUUCGGAGGCGGCGGUGGUGAGUGAACGAAACAGCAUAGAUUGUGGAAACGCUACCAAUGGCCGAAGAGACUUUGUGUAAUUUUAUUACUGUUGACAUUAUACGAGAACAAUUUGAUAAGGUGAAUGAUAAGCGAGACUGAUUAAAGUAACAGUAUUAUUGUUUGAAGACCGGAUGUUUGAUUGUCUUUUGUGAUGCACUUUUCGGAAAUAUGGUCAUUAAUUCGUCAUUUUUCAUCCUCUGCGAUAGACCUAAGACGAAUCUGGGGCACGGCACUGCCCGCGCUAAGUCGAGCAUAAACAUACUUACAUAGAUAGUUUUAUUUCGAGAAAAGUCCAUCGUUAAUUAAUUAUUAUAGUUAUUCACUUUUCUGGGUGCAUUACGAAGAUUUUGGGAAUUUGAUCUUCAACCUAGUGUUUCUACGAAAAGAACCUGUGAAAAAUCAUUCGACUUCUUUCAUCUCUUAUUCCUGUGAUAGCGCCUUAUAGUUGUGUGCUUUGGUUGCGGCAGUUCUAUCGUUUUUAAAUUCGUUGCCUAAUUUUGUGCUGAUAUGUUUAAGAAUAUCACUUUAAUAAUUUGGAUUGUAUGGAGUUAAUUGUAGGUAAUCGUCAAAAUUCUUAGUACUUGUACAUCGAAUAUUCUGGUCUACAUUUUUAAGUAGAGAGUAUAAUGAAAAUGUAAUUCGUUUUAAUAAAUUGGUAAGAUCGCUAUUAUUACUUAUUAAAAAAAUUGAAUUAAAAAGCAGAAGUCCACUUAUAGUUACCGUUCUUUUCAUGCUUUUUACGUCUAUGGUUGUUGAUAGUAAAAUUAGGGUAAGAGAUUAAGAUAUUUUUAUAACUAACGAUAUGUAUGACCAAUGUGAGUGGUUUGUAUGAUUGUUGUAAACUGAAACACUUCAGACUCUGUAUUACAAAUAAUGUAGUUAUUUUCUAAGAUCACAUUGACACCUGAUUUUACAGAACAUUAUUUAUCUAGCAUUUCAUAAUUUACUGUAAUUUACUUACCGUGUUAACUUGCUAUAUCAAUUAAAUUAUAAAAAUACAAAUACAAACACAAAUAUACUUUAUUGCACCAAAUAAAAAGAAAUAAACUUAAAAAAAUAAAAAUAAAUUGUAUCUUUAUAUAUUUAAAUGAAAUCUAAAUUCAGCACCUAUGCACAAAUCGAGUGCCAUGUGAUCUUAGAAAUGUCAUUCUUAUUUAUAUGAUGUGUGUAGUGCCAUACGUAAAAUUAGUAAAUUGUAAAUCAAAAUAUGGUGCAUUUCAUGUCCUUACGGGAACUAGUCAUAUAUCCUUAAUGUUAUGUAUAAUUCAGUGUUAUUAUUAUUAAUUAAGUUAUUGAUUUAUUUAUUUUAUAAUAAGGCCUAGGUUUAAGUAUUAUCAUGGAGGAGGUAGAGAUAGUAAGCAUUUUGUUUUGACCGAGUUCAAUCAAUAAAAUUCUCUUCUAUUCGUGGAGAUGCCGACGCCCCACUAAGUACGGAGUAUAAGAAAUUUUUCCCCGAAAAUGAUAUUGUAUGAAGUAAAUGGAACCUUCUACACAUGUCAUGCAUAAUAAUAUAAUUGAAAUGAAACAACUUUAUAUAAAGAAAGAAAGAUAUUACUUAUUAUAAAAGGUGGCAACACACAAUAACAUAAUAUUAUAUGUGUGUGUGUGUGUAUUAAAGUUUGCGUUUUUUUAGAUGCGAAUCUAUGAAGUCAAUUCCAAAAUGGCCACAUCGAAGCAAUUCAUCUAAGAAAGCGAUAUUGCUAUUUGACAUUUGUUUGCAUUGCGCACUUACUUUUAUAUGCGCAAAUGUCAAAUUGCAAUAUUGAUGAAUUGCUUCGAUGUGACUAUUUCAACCCCCCAGAUUGCCAGUAAGUAUUUAUUUUGCUUUUAUGUUUACUACGCAAAAUGCUUGUCAACUUAUCCU